UACGGGGGGGGGCAAGCGUUUGUUCGGAAUUACUGGGCGUAAAGCGUGCGCAGGCGGUUUUGUAAGCCAGAUGUGAAAUCCCCCGGGCUUAACCUGGGAAUGGCAUUUGGGACUGCAUAGCUAGGGUGCGGAAGAGGGAAGCGGAAUUUCCGGUGUAGCGGUGAAAUGCGUAGAUAUCGGAAGGAACAUCAGUGGCGAAAGCGGCUUCCUGGUCCAGCACCGACGUUCAGGCACGAAAGCGUGGGGAGCAAACAGG
rnacentral:rRNA from 1 species